GAUGAAGAACGUAGCGAAAUGCGAUAAGUAAUGUGAAUUGCAGAAUUCAGUGAAUCAUCGAAUCUUUGAACGCACAUUGCGCCCGCCAGUAUUCUGGCGGGCAUGCCUGUUCGAGCGUCAUUUCAACCAUCAAGCCCCAGGCUUGUGUUGGGGGCCUGCAGCUGCUGCAGCCCCCUAAAAGCAGUGGCGGACUCGCUGUCAUACCGAGCGCAGUAGUUAUAUCUCGCUCUGGGCAUGGCGGCGGGCACCUGCCGUAAAACACUCUUUCUAAGGUUGACCUCGGAUCAGGUAGGAAUACCCGCUGAACUUAAGCAUAUCAAUAAGCGGAGGA
rnacentral:misc_RNA from 1 species